GUUGCAGUUAAAAAGCUCGUAGCCGACUCUCGGGGGGGCUGUAACGGUCCGCAGAAAUGUGAGCACUGUUGUGGUCGCCUCUUCCUUCUGGACACCAUGUCUUCUCUUAACUGAGCGGAUGUGGGGGCCAGAUCGUUCACUUUGAACAAAUUAGAGUGUUCAAAGCAGGCCUCCGCCUGAAUACUUGAGCAUGGAAUGAUAUCAAUAGGUCCUUCCUCCCCGUUUAUUGGUGAUGGGGAGGAAGGAAAUGAGAAAGGGGAAUGGUUGGGGCCAUUCGUACUGCAGCGUUAGAGGUGAAAUUCUUGGAUCGCUGCAAGACGAACAACAGCGAAAGCAUUUGGCAAGAACGUUUCCACCGGUCAAGAACGAAAGUUAAGGGAUCGAAGACGAUCAGAUACCGUCGUAGUCUUAACCAUAAACUAUGCCGACUAGAGAUCGGUGGAUGUUAUUCUAUGACUCCAUCAGCAUCUUAUGAGAAAUCAAAGUCUAUGGGUUCCGGGGGGAGUAUGGUCGCAAGGCUGAAACUUAAAGGAAUUGACGGAAGGGCACCACCAGGAGUGGAGCCUGCGGCUUAAUUUGACUC
rnacentral:rRNA from 1 species